UACCCUUGAAUAUUAGAUUGAUUCAAUUGUUAUGCGACUUUCUUAGCCUCCCCUUAACCCGAUCCCUCGGCAAAAAGGGCCUAAUAUUAACUACUGGCUUGCUAUCCCUAGCCUCCCCUAGUAAUUAAUACCGCAUUAUAAACAGAAGUUAGCACAAUUGAUCAUCCUACCCCUAUCCCUAGGUGGUAUUGCAAAAUCAAGAGAUUACUCACCAGUUCAUGUCAUUACUGUACGUCCCCAUAUCAAUAAAGACAAACAUCAAUAUACCGAAUGAGUUAAACGAUAAAGGCAUUAAGCACAGAUGAUAACCCAACAAUAAUCAAUCAAAACAUAUGGAGACCAUAUAAAUAAUAUAGGGAUUCAAUAAGAGAGAGCAUCAAAAGAUUACAUUGUUUCCCCCAACAACAAUAGGGUUUAGUUCACCAUCGUCAUGAUGAAUCUAGAUGAAGAAUGGAAUGAAAGAGAUACAAACCCUAAAAAGGAGAAAAGGAGAGCUGUCACCAUCUCCAAAUUUAGCCCUAAAGGGGUGAAAAGUGUGUUUCUGUGCAUAAGCCAUUAAAAGAUACAAACCCUAAGACGUUCUGGCCUUUAAAUAGGGCAUAAAAAUGACAUAAAUUAAGUCCAAGCCCAAACAGAUCAUAAAAAAUAACAUAAAACAGGUCCAGGCCC
rnacentral:lncRNA from 1 species